rnacentral:rRNA from 1 species
GGGGUAUUGGUUUUCGGACCAAGAGACCGGCGCACGGGUGCGUAACGCGUAUGCAAUCUACCUUUUGCAGAGGGAUAGCCCAGAGAAAUUUGGAUUAAUACCUCAUAGUAUAGCGACAUCGCAUGAUGAUGCUAUUAAAGUCACAACGGCAAAAGAUGAGCAUGCGUCCCAUUAGCUAGUUGGUGAGGUAACGGCUUACCAAGGCAACGAUGGGUAGGGGUCCUGAGAGGGAGAUCCCCCACACUGGUACUGAGACACGGACCAGACUCCUACGGGAGGCAGCAGUGAGGAAUAUUGGACGAUGGGCGCAAGCCUGAUCCAGCCAUGCCGCGUGCAGGAUGACGGUCCUAUGGAUUGUAAACUGCUUUUAUACGAGAAGAAACACUCCGACGUGUCGGAGCUUGACGGUACCGUAAGAAUAAGGAUCGGCUAACUCCGUGCCAGCAGCCGCGGUAAUACGGAGGAUCCAAGCGUUAUCCGGAAUCAUUGGGUUUAAAGGGUCCGUAGGCGGUUUUGUAAGUCAGUGGUGAAAUCUGGUCGCUUAACGAUCAAACGGCCAUUGAUACUGCAAGACUUGAAUUAUUGGGAAGUAACUAGAAUAUGUAGUGUAGCGGUGAAAUGCUUAGAGAUUACAUGGAAUACCAAUUGCGAAGCAGGUUACUAUCAAUAU